CCUACGGGAGGCAGCAGUGGGGAAUAUUGCGCAAUGGGCGCAAGCCUGAUGCAGCAACGCCGCGUGAGGGACGACGGCCUUCGGGUUGUAAACCUCUUUUAGUAGGGAAGAAGCGAAAGUGACGGUACCUGCAGAAAAAGCACCGGCUAACUACGUGCCAGCAGCCGCGGUAAUACGUAGGGUGCAAGCGUUAUCCGGAAUUAUUGGGCGUAAAGAGCUCGUAGGCGGUUUGUCGCGUCUGCUGUGAAAACUGGAGGCUCAACCUCCAGCCUGCAGUGGGUACGGGCAAACUAGAGUGCGGUAGGGGAGGUUGGAAUUCCUGGUGUAGCGGUGGAAUGCGCAGAUAUCAGGAGGAACACCGAUGGCGAAGGCAGAUCUCUGGGCCGUAACUGACGCUGAGGAGCGAAAGCAUGGGGAGCGAACAGGAUUAGAUACCCUGGUAGUCCAUGCCGUAAACGUUGGGCGCUAGAUGUGGGGACCCAUUCCACGGUUUCCGUGUCGCNGCUACGCAUAAGACGCCCCGCCCGUCGGGAGGUACGGCCGGCGACGGACGUAAACCUAACAAACGAAAGUAGACGGCGUGAGACGUCGCCGACGGACGACGACGAGGGAGGUUAGG
rnacentral:rRNA from 1 species